AUUGAACGCUGGCGGCAGGCCUAACACAUGCAAGUCGAACGGUAGCACAGAGAGCUUGCUCUCGGGUGGCGAGUGGCGGACGGGUGAGUAAUGUCUGGGAAACUGCCCGAUGGAGGGGGAUAACUACUGGAAACGGUAGCUAAUACCGCAUAAUGUCGCAAGACCAAAGAGGGGGACCUUCGGGCCUCUUGCCAUCGGAUGUGCCCAGAUGGGAUUAGCUAGUUGGUGAGGUAAUGGCUCACCAAGGCGACGAUCCCUAGCUGGUCUGAGAGGAUGACCAGCCACACUGGAACUGAGACACGGUCCAGACUCCUACGGGAGGCAGCAGUGGGGAAUAUUGCACAAUGGGCGCAAGCCUGAUGCAGCCAUGCCGCGUGUAUGAAGAAGGCCUUCGGGUUGUAAAGUACUUUCAGCGGGGAGGAAGGCGAUACGGUUAAUAACCGUAUUGAUUGACGUGACCCGCAGAAGAAGCACCGGCUAACUCCGU
rnacentral:rRNA from 1 species